UAGGGAAUCUUCGGCAAUGGGGGCAACCCUGACCGAGCAACGCCGCGUGAGUGAAGAAGGUUUUCGGAUCGUAAAGCUCUGUUGUAAGAGAAGAACGUGUGUGAGAGUGGAAAGUUCACACAGUGACGGUAACUUACCAGAAAGGGACGGCUAACUACGUGCCAGCAUCCGCGGUAAUACGUAGGUCCCGAGCGUUGUCCGGAUUUAUUGGGCGUAAAGCGAGCGCAGGCGGUUUAAUAAGUCUGAAGUUAAAGGCAGUGGCUUAACCAUUGUUCGCUUUGGAAACUGUUAAACUUGAGUGCAGAAAGGGAGAGUGGAAUUCAAUGUGUAGCGGUGAAAUGCGUAGAUAUAUGGAGGAACACCGGUGGCGAAAGCGGCUCUCUGGUCUGUAACUGACGCUGAGGCUCGAAAGCGUGGGGAGCAAACAGG
rnacentral:rRNA from 1 species